UGGGUAUAAGUGUCUCUCCGAUCUGAGAUCACCACAGUGACUUGCAAGCAACUCACUGUACUUUGAUAUCGGACUAACUGAGUUUUUAAUUCAGUGAUAAAAAAUUUUUAGAUAUAGUCAAAUAUUUGUCAAGUCGAUGCGUGAGUUAAGAUGGGAUUGACCCUUCCAAAUUAGUAGGAGAUAUGCAUCGAUGUAUUUCAAUUUAGCAAAAUCUGAGCCUGGAUAAUUCAUGUGAU
rnacentral:lncRNA from 1 species